AUGCCAAGAUAAGUGCUAUGCCAACUUGGACUUUAAUAUCUUUCCACAUUGGAACAUCAAAGUUAGCUCUGGUUAAUUACUUCCACAACUACAAAAAUAUUUCCCUUCCUUAAAACUCAUCAGAAAGUCAUAAUAGAGAAAUAUAGCCAGAAAGAUGACUUAGAGAAGAAGAAAAGAUGCCCUUGGGGAAGGACGAGUAAAGUUGCUUCUUUCUGUUUGUUUGGAGAGUUACAUGGGAUUCCUGAAACAGGGCCUCUGGUGAUGACUGCUAGGCAGGUGCAGAUGAACAUGAAGUAAUGUGCAUAUAUAAGCACAUUUUGAUAACUGAAAGCUUUCAUGUGCUCAACUAAAGUUCAAACAACUUGGAAUGAAGAGGCGGAACCAGCAAGUUCUCAAAAUGCUGCUG